rnacentral:sRNA from 1 species
AUUUUCUGCCGUUUGCGCUUGCACUGGACGAAUUCUUCGAGCGAGUCGUUCCUGACGUACCAUAGCACGGGUUAUUUUUGUGGGGCAAUAGCCACGGGGUAGUACGCUUUUUUUGCAAACUGGACAAAGGCUACUAUUUUGCAAGAGGAAAUUAUCUAUACAUUCGGGAUGAAAAAUGUGUUGACAUGGAAGUUCGCGGACUGUGGUUUCACCCCAAUCGUAGUCGUCUAGACAGAUUGGACAGGUUGUUUGUGAAAAGGUAGGUUGAGCAUGGCGUUGCUGGUUGCUAUCAGACGUCGUGGUUUGCGACCUUGGAGAUGGUGGACGCGGAGCCGAUGAUGGAGAUGGAGAUUUACGCGGAAAGAGGGUUUGUGAUACCCGUGAAAUCCACACCCAAUUCGACAUAGCUUGAAGAAAACUCUUCUUAUCUAAUGGUAAUUUGGAAUGUCCUUCGAAUUCUAGCGUCGUUUCCGCAGUCGGAGGUAUGAAAUGCUCAAUUCUACCUGACCCAUCGCAGAUAUAGAGGGGCAUUUUAUCCAGGAUAUCUUGCGGGACGUUCAGCCGCUUAAUACCCAGGGUCUCCAGAUCAACUUCUCCCGCUGCGACUCUCCUUUCCAAGGAACGCAGCUGGCGAGUUUGAAUGAGCCGCAUGCCGAGGGAUAAAAGAAUAGCAACACAAAUUAGAAUCGCUACGACAGCCA